CGACCCCCUACCUGAAGAGACUACAAGAAAGUGACGCCGGGCAGACUCAACCACCCCAGCCUUUCACCAUUGAGGCCAUCUAGGGUUUAAACAAUACAUUUGACGAACAAGCUAUUUAGCUGAAUGGCUUUGAUGAGAGGAUUCAUGAAAAUACCCUCUCGAUUGCAAACGUUUCCAGAACUACAGAGUUUAAUGCAUCAGGCAUUAAGAAUAUUACCACUGAUGUGAAACUGUUGAAAAAUAAAGUUGAUGCCCUGACAAAAGAGAACGAGGAGCUGGACAGUGCUGGACAAGACCGAUACAACCGCCGAUGGGGCUAGGAUCUGAACCGGCUCCCUGAAACUGAUGUAACUGACAGUUAGACUUACAGGUUAUGUCGUUGUCUUUUGUUUGAAUUGUUUAUGUGUCCGCUGUGCGGGGGAAAUGAUAAUACAAGCGGAACUACGUAGCUAAUACUGUUGUAACGGGGAUCCUUAUUGUAGCAACACACCUUUGGAGGGAAGGCAAUCCUGCGCUGCGUUAGCUAAGUUUUCAUGUCAUCGGGUGUAGUUCAUAAUGGUUGAAGAGUGUAUGUUAGGAUGAAGUGUGAAUUCAUGCCAGGAAUAAUAAGUGUGAAGUUUAAUUUCCUCCCUUCUGUAAUAAGCAGCCAAUGAGUUCUCACGGAAGGUGAUAAUUCUGACUAAAACUACAGAAUAAAGCCGCCAGUUAAAAUCAA